GACGAACGCUGGCGGCGUGCUUAACACAUGCAAGUCGAACGAAGUGGCGAACGGGUGAGUAACGCGUAAUCAACCUGCCCUUCAGAGGGGGACAACAGUUGGAAACGACUUCUAAUACCGCAUACUGAAGGAGGGGUUUGCGUCUGAUUAGCUAGUUGGGGGGGUAACGGCCCACCAAGUCGAGGAUCAGUAGCCGGUAGGAGAGGUUGAACGGACUAAUUGGUGCGGGGACACGUCCCAUACUGCUACGGGAGGCAGCAGUGGGGAAUCUUCCGCAAUGGACGAAAGUCUGACGGAGCAACGCCGCGUUAGUGAUGACGGCCUUUGGGUGGUAAAGCUUUGUUAAUCGGGACGCGGUACCGGAAUAGAAAGCCACGGCUAACUACGUGCCAGCAGCCGCGGUAAUUC
rnacentral:rRNA from 1 species